UCCAUCGAAUACCAUAACGAUAUUAUUCCAUUUUGCAUGUGUGCAUCAUAUUUCCCGUACGUUCGACGUAUAUUUUUCGCGCUACGAACGCGUAAGAUCCGCAGUUUGGAAAUUACAAGCGGAACAUUUUUCGAUAUUUUUUAUUCGUGUCAUCGAACGAGUUUGUUUAGAAAUGCAUCGAGGGUCAAUGGUAAUUCGGUUACGGUAUAAACGAUUGCCUUCUCUCGUAAUGAAAAUGUAAUGUCACACUGUGUACAAAUCUAGUGCUGCAGGAUUGGCCAGUUUCGCGACCAAUCGGAAGCGAUUCCAGAAUCCCUCUACUUUACCAGUGAACCGCUCGGUCGACUUUCUGAUGCGCGGAGGAAUUGUCGUUACGCGAGAAGACGUGAUUUUCGAAUUACGAUCGAACGACUGAUCGGUUGUGAAUCGUUAACAGUGUCGUAUUUUAUUGUGAAAUGUUUACUUACGGUCGGUGGUGAGCCGUUCCGAUCGCCCGACGUAUGCUUUUCACGCAUACUCGUGACAGUCAGUAUUCGACUAUUCGAUUUGUGACAAAUUCGCGUGAUCUGCAUCACACGGCACUGUUUCGGUAUCCUGUGUCAUCCAGGUGUCAUCGAUAUCAGCGUGUCACCAAUUGUCGAUCGAACGUAGAACCAUUCUGGGGAUUUUAAGGAAACAUCAAAGUUCCAUAGACCAUACAGUUUCGUGGAACUUGAGCGACCCCGGGGGAACGAAGACGACUGCAUUUUAGCAAUUUCUUUGAUUCUUCUUUCCCGCGACGAAGCAUUUGUUACUUUUGUUUGAGGCUGUCAAACUGAACUCGGUCGUCACGCAUCGAAAAACUAACAAGCAACGUUUUCCACGAGAAUAUUCACGACAAACAAUCUAAAUUU